rnacentral:rRNA from 1 species
GACGAACGCUGGCGGCGUGCUUAACACAUGCAAGUCGAACGGAAAGGCCCUGCUUUUGUGGGGUGCUCGAGUGGCGAACGGGUGAGUAACACGUGAGUAACCUGCCCUUGACUUUGGGAUAACUUCAGGAAACUGGGGCUAAUACCGGAUAGGAGCUCCUGCUGCAUGGUGGGGGUUGGAAAGUUUCGGCGGUUGGGGAUGGACUCGCGGCUUAUCAGCUUGUUGGUGGGGUAGUGGCUUACCAAGGCUUUGACGGGUAGCCGGCCUGAGAGGGUGACCGGCCACAUUGGGACUGAGAUACGGCCCAGACUCCUACGGGAGGCAGCAGUGGGGAAUAUUGCACAAUGGGCGGAAGCCUGAUGCAGCAACGCCGCGUGCGGGAUGACGGCCUUCGGGUUGUAAACCGCUUUCGCCUGUGACGAAGCGUGAGUGACGGUAAUGGGUAAAGAAGCACCGGCUAACG